rnacentral:rRNA from 1 species
GACGAACGCUGGCGGCGUGCCUAAUACAUGCAAGUCGAACGCAGUGGGGACGGGUGCGUAACACGUGGGUAACCUCCCAUCAGAGGGGAUAACACUUGGAAACAGGUGCUAAACCGAUACUGAUGGAUGAACCCGCGGUGCAUUAGCUCGUUGGUGAGGUAACGGCUCACCAAGGCCACGAUGCAUAGCCGACCGGAUGGGGGGAUCGGCCACACUGUGACUGAGACACGGCCCAGACUCCUACGUGAGUCAGCAGUAGGGAAUCUUCGGCAAUGGACGAAAGUCUGACCGAGCAACGCCGCUUGAUAGAAGAAGGUUUUCGGAUCGUAAAACUCUGGUGUUAGAGAAGCGGUAUCUAACCAGAAAGCCACGGCUAACUACGUGCCAGCAGCCGCGGUAAUAC